rnacentral:rRNA from 1 species
UGGGGAAUAUUGUACAAUGGAGGGAACUCUGAUGCAGCGACGCCGCGUGAACGAAGAAGGCUUUCGAGUCGUAAAGUUCUUUUAUAUGGGAAGAUAAUGACGGUACCAUAAGAAGAAGCCCCGGCUAACUACGUGCCAGCAGCCGCGGUAAUACGUAGGGGGCUAGCGUUGUCCGGAAUCACUGGGCGUAAAGGGUUCGCAGGCGGAAAUGCAAGUCAGGUGUAAAAGGCAGUAGCUUAACUACUGUAAGCAUUUGAAACUGCAUAUCUUGAGAAGAGUAGAGGUAAGUGGAAUUUUUAGUGUAGCGGUGAAAUGCGUAGAUAUUAAAAAGAAUACCGGUGGCGAAGGCGACUUACUGGGCUCAUUCUGACGCUGAGGAACGAAAGCGUGGGUAGCAAACAGG